AAAGAUCUAAUUAAAACUAAAAGAUGCAUUAUGUAGUAUUAUUGAAUGAUCAAUUAUAUGAUGUUGAUAUGUUGUUAAAGCUGAGCUAUGAUAAUAAUGAACAUAUUAAAUAAUUUAUUCUAAAAAUAAUGCCUUGAUAUAGAAAUUUAUUCUUGUAGAUAUGAGGUUGACAAGAUUGUCCGUAGGAAAUACCAGCGCAUAGACAAUCAGAGAAAUAUAAAGUCUAUGGAGAGAAAUGACUUUUCAAGGUAACCUUCACAGUUAAGAAUAGUUACAAAAUCAGCUGAUUCUUACGACAUUUACUGCUCGGAGGCAUGUGAGCUGUGAUUCUUCUGUAAACGCUGUAAGGUUGACUAGCGUUUACGAAUGCUGGUGCACCAUCAUGAAUUACUUUUGUCAUCAAAAAUUCCUCAUUGGUUUUUCCAGAAGUUGCAGAGUACACUUCAGGAGUUAAAGGUCGCAUGGACUUUGCUUUCAAGGCAAUUGCUUUUGAAUAUAUCAAAGGUGGUAACACAAAGACUAAUGGACCAGUCAAGGAUCCCCCAAUCAGUGCCAUCACAAUAUCAAAUCUAGGCACAGAUUCUCCUACAGCUACUCCAAGAAAGACAAUAGCUGAUCUUAUGGCACAUCUUUUCCAUCCAAAAUCUGUGAUAAAAAGCUGAAUGACCAAGAGCACUAGAAAGACAUAGCUGAAGAGCUGCAAAAAGAACAGCAGCACUCACUGUGAAGUUUCCUGGAAUUACUUGCAGAACAUUGGCUGUUGUACUACCUCCAUACUUCCAAACAGUUAAAAUUGUAGUAACAAUAAAUAAUGAACUGCUGACUGUAACGAACAAUCAAUGUAGUCAUCAUAAUAUAUAGAAUAAUAGUUCAAUUUA